rnacentral:rRNA from 1 species
AACGAACGCUGGCGGCAUGCCUAACACAUGCAAGUCGAACGAACCCUUCGGGGUUAGUGGCGCACGGGUGCGUAACACGUGGGAAUCUGCCCUUGGCUUCGGAAUAACAGUUAGAAAUGACUGCUAAUACCGGAUGAUGACGAAAGUCCAAAGAUUUACCGGCCAGGGAUGAGCCCGCGUAGGAUUAGGUAGUUGGUGGGGUAAAGGCCUACCAAGCCGACGAUCCUUAGCUGGUCUGAGAGGAUGAUCAGCCACACUGGGACUGAGACACGGCCCAGACUCCUACGGGAGGCAGCAGUGGGGAAUAUUGGACAAUGGGGGCAGCCCUGAUCCAGCAAUGCCGCGUGAGUGAUGAAGGCCUUAGGGUUGUAAAGCUCUUUUACCCGGGAUGAUAAUGACAGUACCGGGAGAAUAAGCUCCGGCUAACUCCGUGCCAGCCGCCGCAGUAAUAC